GACGAACGCUGGCGGCGUGCUUAACACAUGCAAGUCGAACGGAAAGGCCCUGCUUUUGUGGGGUGCUCGAGUGGCGAACGGGUGAGUAACACGUGAGUAACCUGACCUUGACUUUGGGAUAACUUCAGGAAACUGGGGCUAAUACCGGAUAGGAGCUCCUGCUGCAUGGUGGGGGUUGGAAAGUUUCGGCGGUUGGGGAUGGACUCGCGGCUUAUCAGCUUGUUGGUGGGGUAGUGGCUUACCAAGGCGUUGACGGGUAGCCGGCCUGAGAGGGUGACCGGCCACAUUGGUACUGAGAUACGGCCCAGACUCCUACGGGAGGCAGCAGUGGGGAAUAUUGCACAAUGGGCGGAAGCCUGAUGCAGCAACGCCGCGUGCGGGAUGACGGCCUUCGGGUUGUAAACCGCUUUCGCCUGUGACGAAGCGGGAGUGACGGUAAUGGGUAAAGAAGCACCGGCUAACUACGUG
rnacentral:rRNA from 1 species